rnacentral:misc_RNA from 2 species
CAUUACCGAGUUUACAACUCCCAAACCCAAUGUGAACCAUACCAAACUGUUGCCUCGGCGGGGUCACGCCCCGGGUGCGUCGCAGCCCCGGAACCAGGCGCCCGCCGGAGGGACCAACCAAACUCUUUCUGUAGUCCCCUCGCGGACGUUAUUUCUUACAGCUCUGAGCAAAAAUUCAAAAUGAAUCAAAACUUUCAACAACGGAUCUCUUGGUUCUGGCAUCGAUGAAGAACGCAGCGAAAUGCGAUAAGUAAUGUGAAUUGCAGAAUUCAGUGAAUCAUCGAAUCUUUGAACGCACAUUGCGCCCGCCAGUAUUCUGGCGGGCAUGCCUGUCCGAGCGUCAUUUCAACCCUCGAACCCCUCCGGGGGGUCGGCGUUGGGGAUCGGGGACCCCUAAGACGGGAUCCCGGCCCCGAAAUACAGUGGCGGUCUCGCCGCAGCCUCUCCUGCGCAGUAGUUUGCACAACUCGCACCGGGAGCGCGGCGCGUCCACGUCCGUAAAACACCCAACUUCUGAAAUGUUGACCUCGGAUCAGGUAGGAAUACCCG